rnacentral:rRNA from 1 species
CAGAUCGCAAGACCUUGCGCUCUUGGAGCGGCCGAUGUCUGAUUAGCUAGUUGGUGAGGUAAAGGCUUACCAAGGCGACGAUCAGUAGCUGGUCUGAGAGGACGACCAGCCACACUGGGACUGAGACACGGCCCAGACUCCUACGGGAGGCAGCAGUGGGGAAUUUUGGACAAUGGGGGAAACCCUGAUCCAGCCAUGCCGCGUGAGUGAAGAAGGCCUUCGGGUUGUAAAGCUCUUUCAGCCGGAACGAAACGGUCACGGCUAAUACCUGUGACUACUGACGGUACCGGAAGAAGAAGCACCGGCUAACUACGUGCCAGCAGCCGCGGUAAUACGUAGGGUGCAAGCGUUAAUCGGAAUUACUGGGCGUAAAGCGUGCGCAGGCGGUUUGUAAGUCAGAU